UACAUGUGGGGCAAGCGUUGUUCGGAAUUACUGGGCAUAAAGGGUGCGUAGGCGGCUUGUUAAGUCAGGGGUGAAAGUUUUCGGCCCAACCGGAAAAUUGCCUUUGAUACUGGCGAGCUUGAGUGCGUGAGGGAUGGGGGGAACGAGCAGUGUAGCGGUGAAAUGCGUAGAGAUCGGGAGGAACACCGGUGGCGAAGGCGGGUCUCUGGGCAAUUCCUGACGCUGAGGCGCGAAAGCGUGGGGAGCAAACGGG
rnacentral:rRNA from 1 species